rnacentral:lncRNA from 10 species
AAUCACCAAGUGAUCAAAAUGCCUACAGAAAGGUGUUCAACAUCAUUAUUCAUUAGAGAAAUACGAAUGAAAAUAAGACACCUACCAGGACACCAACACACCCACCAGGACAGGCAUAAUUAAAAGACUGAUACCACCAAUUACUGGAGCAUGUGAAGCUACUGGAACUCUCAGACAUUACUGUGGGAGUAUAAUUUGGUACAACCACUUUGGAAAACUGGCAGCUCAAGCUGAACAUAUGUGCCAACCCUGC